UACGUAGGGUGCAAGCGUUGUCCGGAAUUAUUGGGCGUAAAGAGCUUGUAGGCGGUUUGUCGCGUCUGCUGUGAAAUUUCGGGGCUCAACCCCGAACUUGCAGUGGGUACGGGCAGACUAGAGUGUGGUAGGGGAGACUGGAAUUCCUGGUGUAGCGGUGAAAUGCGCAGAUAUCAGGAGGAACACCGAUGGCGAAGGCAGGUCUCUGGGCCGACUACUGACGCUGAGAAGCGAAAGCAUGGGGAGCGAACAGG
rnacentral:rRNA from 1 species